CCUAAGGGAGGCAGCAGUGGGGAAUAUUGCACAAUGGGGGAAACCCUGAUGCAGCGACGCCGCGUGAGUGAAGAAGUAUUUCGGUACGUAAAGCUCUAUCAGCAGGGAAGAAAAUGACGGUACCUGACUAAGAAGCCCCGGCUAACUACGUGCCAGCAGCCGCGGUAAUACGUAGGGGGCAAGCGUUAUCCGGAUUUACUGGGUGUAAAGGGAGCGUAGACGGCAGCGCAAGUCUGGAGUGAAAUCCCAUGGCUUAACCAUGGAACUGCUUUGGAAACUGUGCAGCGAGAGUGCAGGAGAGGUAAGCGGAAUUCCUAGUGUAGCGGUGAAAUGCGUAGAUAUUAGGAGGAACACCAGUGGCGAAGGCGGCUUACUGGACUGUAACUGACGUUGAGGCUCGAAAGCGUGGGGAGCAAACAGGAUUAGAUACCCCCGUAGG
rnacentral:rRNA from 1 species